UACGUAGGGGGCGAGCGUUGUCCGAAGUUACUGGGCGUAAAGAGUGCGUAGGCGGCUUGACAAGUUGCGUCUAAAAGGCGGCAGCUCAACUGACGAGUGCGGUGCAAGACUGUAAAGCUUGAGGCAAGCAAAAGAAUGUGGAACUCCGAGUGUAGCGGUGGAAUGCGUAGAGAUUCGGAAGAACACCCAUGGCGAAGGCAGCAUUCUGGGCUUGACCUGACGCUGAGGCACGAAAGCCAGGGGAGCGAACGGG
rnacentral:rRNA from 1 species